rnacentral:rRNA from 1 species
AGUGAACGCUGGCGGUAGGCCUAACACAUGCAAGUCGAACGGCAGCACAGUAAGAGCUUGCUCUUACGGGUGGCGAGUGGCGGACGGGUGAGGAAUACAUCGGAAUCUACUUUUUCGUGGGGGAUAACGUAGGGAAACUUACGCUAAUACCGCAUACGACCUACGGGUGAAAGCAGGGGAUCUUCGGACCUUGCGCGAUUGAAUGAGCCGAUGUCGGAUUAGCUAGUUGGCGGGGUAAAGGCCCACCAAGGCGACGAUCCGUAGCUGGUCUGAGAGGAUGAUCAGCCACAAUGGAACUGAGACACGGUCCAGACGCCUACGGGAGGCAGCAGUGGGGAAUAUUGGACAAUGGGAGCAAGCCUGAUCCAGCCAUACCGCGUGGGUGAAGAAGGCCUUCGGGUUGUAAAGCCCUUUUGUUGGGAAAGAAAAGCAGCAGGUUAAUACCCCGCUGUUCUGACGGUACCCAAAGAAUAAGCACCGGCUAACUUCGUG